CAAUUACUAGUUUUGCAUGAUGUGAGGCUCCUUAAUUUACAAUUCACUUCUGUUUUGCUGGAUGCAUAUAAUCAGAUCUAUGAGGAAAUCUUAAAGAGCAUUAUAAAGCUAACUAGCAGCAACUGAAUUCUUAGAAGACAAAAGUACCCAAGGAAACCAAGAGGAACAUUUUUAUCCUGCAAGAAAUGUUUGUGGGUCUUCAAAGACAGCACAGUGAAACCAUGUCUGUUCAUUUUUAGCUUUUUUUUUCUGGGGAGGGAAAGCGUAUUAAAUUUUCUCUGGUGAUUAUGACUGUUGUUUGUAUUUUCAUAGCUAUUGUCUUUUCUGCAGACUACAGCUGCCAUGCUUGUAACAUGUGCAAAAAGAUGAACAACAUGUAAAUAACUACCCAUUAGUCUCAUAGACAUUAGGCUUGCAAAGUCUAUAUUGUUUUGCAGCUUCAUCAAUCCAACUGCAAGCCUAAAUAUUUUCAAAAUCUACCUUUCCAUAUGACAGAAUUACUGAAAGCUGCUGAAUGUAGACACCUUUGAUACAUUUUGGUUGUUACGAAGGUUUAAUUAAUCAGUUUAAAACAUCAGUAUGAGAAUAACAGUAAUAUGACAAAGUGAAUCAUCAGGAAGUCAUCUUAGAAUGCUUGUUUUAGAUAUUCUGUGCUCUCCAUGGUGAACUGCUGGUGUAGAGCUAGUUAGCUUUGCAGUGUGUUACGUUUAAGAUAAGGGCACUGCACAUCUGAAUGUACAGAUGGAACCAUAUAAUAUCAGACUUACUGUAGAUAAAAUAAUCCUUACAGGCCUUUUUUUUUCCAUGAGCCAAAUUAAGUGUACACAGUAGUUUUAGAAAAUGGUAUAUUUAAAUAUAUUCUUGAUGAUACAAUGUUGUUUUGUGAGAGCAUAACAUUAAAUGGUUUGUUAGAAGUCAGGAUAAUAUCAGGAAUGAUUAUGCCCUGCGCUGCUGGCAAAAUGGCACUGUGUUUCACUAUGUCUGCAUUUUUAUUGCUAAUUUAUCAAAGUCCAAUGUGUGUAAUUUUUAUCUUGCCAAGUGGGGGUCAUAGAUAGAAAAUGUGUAUCCUUACAAUAAAUAUAAUUGCGUAUUAACUCAUAGAUGAGGACUGUUGAGUAAAGUUUUCAAAUGCAAGAUGGAAGGUAACAAAUUUGUGGUCAUUAAAUUUAAUUGUAUAAUUAAGUUUACAUUGUUUGAGUUUACAGAAAGAAGAGAGAGGAAGAAACAGAAGAGUGAGUGAGAGAGAGAGAGAGAGACAGAGAGGAAGAGAGACAGAAAUUAAAAGCAUGAUUCAUAUUUGUACCAUUUUUAUUAUUAGUCCACAGCAAUGACAGUCUCAGUAGUGGUAUUUCAGGGAACUGUGGAUUUUACUAUGUAAAAAUAUUUCCAUGAGCAUGCAGAAUAAUGCUUGAUUAUAUGACUAUAUUUUUGUUUGUUUCCAUUCACAGACCAAGAAUGCAUUAAAAUGCUAACUAGAAUGUUGGCACGUUAGCAUCAGUUGAAUAAAUGAAAAAAUGUUUGUCAGCUAUUUUAUCUUAAAUCGAAACAGAAUUUUUAUAAAGAGGCACACAACUUUUAUUUGUGUUUCACUGUUCUUACAUCUUCUAAGGUUUCCAUAUGGGACAGCACUGACUAUAUUCUUAUAUGAUGUUUACUUAUAAUAUUUACUUACUCUAUACAAGGCACAGUGAUAUAAAGAAGAUGAAGGUAUUGUAUUUUGGAUACAGAUGAGCUUUUAAGUAUUCAUACCAUUUAAUAAAUCUAGACUUGGGUCUGUGUACCAUUUUAAUACUAGGACUGUUGUGAGAACAUCUUGGAGGAAAUAAAAUAUUGCAUUAAUAAGGAAAUUUUCAUUUGGUUUGAAUUGCUUCUAUACUCACUUCACUUGUCUUUACAAGUAAAGGUUACGCAAUAGGAAAUAGUUGCAGGGACCAUUUUGAAAGAUUUUUUUAUAAGUAAAAUGUAAUGCAUUAUAGUGCACAUUAUUUUUAUUCAUCCAAACUACUAGUUUGCGAGAUAAUUAAAACUGGUAGAGUAAAUUAAGAGGUGACAUGAUAAUAUCAUGGCAUUGGUGCAAAUCAUUUUAGGGCAUAGUUUACCCAGUUUAAGGAAUUGAAAAUUACUAAGUUAAACAAAUCUGAAGUAGUAAACACAUAUACUGAAAAAGUUAGAAUCUCAUAUACAACCCUGUUUUAUUGCAGUGUAGAAAUAAACUGGUAAAGGUGCAUUUAUUACCAAAUCUUGCAUAACCAUGUAAUAACUAUAUAUUUUAGGUAAUACAAUUCAGUUUUCCUGGGCAGAGAAUUUUUUUCAAACCAGUAAGCUGUCUGAAAAAUGCAAAACUUGUUUUUUCCUAAUUUCAUUAAUCCAUACCUAGGUAAAGUAAUAUUUGAUUUUAAAUAUUGCAGAUUAUCUCAGUAUUGUAGGACUACAUGGAUGACUAGUGUUGAAAACAGAAUACGGUGCCCUUCUGCCCUUGUUUUGUAAUAGUUUGUGAUGAAAAGGUUAUUAUAUAAUAUAAGUAUUCUAGAGGGAUAUUAUGUUGUUAAGAAUGGCACUGCAUAUGGUCACAGACAGAUCUCAUGGACACUGAGUUUUAUGACAGUGAAGAGAUGGUUUAUAAAGAAGGAUACUAUGAAAACGUAUGAUGUUUAUGUAAAUAAAAUGCAAUGGACAUGUACCCAGUUCUAACAUGAACUACCUAAUUUAAUUCAGGGUUGUCCAUUUUUACUGCAGUAUUUUGUUUACAUUGCUAUUUGCCUGAAAUCCAUUCGUGUUAUUUUGGAUUUAUUUUAAAUGUAUCUAACUUAUUUCAUAUCAUAUUUUACCUCCAUCAUGUUUUAUUUUUAUGAAUGAAAUAAUAAUUUUAAUGUUAUAUAGUCACAUGGUUACCUGGUUUAUUAAAAAGAUUAGUUGCCAGAAGAUGAGCCUCAAUUAAAGUGGCCUGAUCACUGCUGUAAUAAUUUCUGAUUGCAACAGGCAUAUAUUUUGCUAUGUGCACUGUUUCAUAAACAUUAAAAUGCAUGUAGAAUGCUAAUGUUAUGACAUCCAUUUUAUAUACAUAGUAAUUAAAAAUAUUAGUAGUCUGACCUGUCAGUGCAAACUCCUUGCCAAUUUCCAUGCAUAAAUGAAUCAUCCAUUACACCUUUUACAAUGAGCUCCACAAAAUUACAGAUCUUUGGUAACAGUCAUGCUGUCUAAGAUAUAUGAAACGCUUCUGGCUGAUUGUUUCUUAUAUUUUUGUGCAAAGAUAAUUACAAUUACUUUUGACCUGAAUUAUGAUAUUGCAAACAAUGGUCCCACUAUAUUUAAAUGUAUGAGUUUGAGAACAGGGCAUUUGAAAAUAAUGUGGAUAAAAGGCACAGCAGUUAAUGUGCAGUUUAAUAAAAACACAUAUUAUAAUAUUUAAUAUCAUUGUUUAACACACACAUACAUACUGGAAUCAUUACAGCAUCAGUGCCCAAUAAUUAAAUCAUUCUAAUAAUACUUAUUACCAUUUGUUUUUUUCCCCUGCAAUAUAAAAUAAUUUGCAUGGUUUAACAUGUUUAAGAAAUGUAUCUUAAAUAUGGAUGAAGUACAGUUCAGAAAGUGUUCUCUUUGUAGCUUUGCUUGAUCAUUGUGUUUUGUGACUGUGGGAUAUUCUGCUAACAAGCUGUAUGUGACAAAUACUUUUAACUGUGCAGCUAUGUUGUAUAUGUAUCCACUACUUUCAAAUGCUUGCCAGAAACUGAAUGUUAAAUUACAGAUGCAUUAUUUCCAUACCCUGUCAUAUUAAAGCAAACCUUUGCACUAGUA